AGUGAACGCUGGCGGUAGGCCUAACACAUGCAAGUCGAACGGCAGCACAGUAAGAGCUUGCUCUUACGGGUGGCGAGUGGCGGACGGGUGAGGAAUACAUCGGAAUCUACUUUUUCGUGGGGGAUAACGUAGGGAAACUUACGCUAAUACCGCAUACGACCUACGGGUGAAAGCAGGGGAUCUUCGGACCUUGCGCGAUUGAAUGAGCCGAUGUCGGAUUAGCUAGUUGGCGGGGUAAAGGCCCACCAAGGCGACGAUCCGUAGCUGGUCUGAGAGGAUGAUCAGCCACACUGGAACUGAGACACGGGCCAGACUCCUACGGGAGGCAGCAGUGGGGAAUAUUGGACAAGGGGCGCAAGCCUGAUCCAGCCAGACCGCGUGGGUGAAGAAGGCCUUCGGGUUGUAAAGCCCUUUUGUUGGGAAAGAAAAGCAGCAGGUUAAUACCCCGCUGUUCUGACGGUACCCAAAGAAUAAACACCGGCUAACUUCGU
rnacentral:rRNA from 1 species